UACAGAGGUCUCAAGCGUUGUUCGGAUUCAUUGGGCGUAAAGGGUGCGUAGGCGGCGCGGUAAGUCGGGUGUGAAAUCUUGGAGCUUAACUCCGAAGCUGCAUUCGAUACUGCCGUGCUUGAGGACUGGAGAGGAGACUGGAAUUUACGGUGUAGCGGUGAAAUGCGUAGAUAUCAGGAAGAACACCUAUGGCGAAGGCAGCUCUCUGGGACGGUACUGACGCUGAGACGCGAAAGCGUGGGGAGCGAACAGG
rnacentral:rRNA from 1 species